GCCGUUACAGACGCUGAGGAGCGAAAGGGUGGGGAGCAAACAGGCUUAGAUACCUGGUAGUCCACCCCGUAAACGUUGGGAAAUAGUUGUGGGGUCCAUUCCACGGAUUCCGUGACGCAGCUAACGCAUUAAGUACCCCGCCUGGGGAGUACGGCCGCAAGGCUAAAACUCAAAGGAAUUGACGGGGACCCGCACAAGCGGCGGAGCAUGCGGAUUAAUUCGAUGCAACGCGAAGAACCUUACCAAGGCUUGACAUAUACGAGAACGGGCCAGAAAUGGUCAACUCUUUGGACACUCGUAAACAGGUGGUGCAUGGUUGUCGUCAGCUCGUGUCGUGAGAUGUUGGGUUAAGUCCCGCAACGAGCGCAACCCUCGUUCUAUGUUGCCAGCACGUAAUGGUGGGAACUCAUGGGAUACUGCCGGGGUCAACUCGGAGGAAGGUGGGGAUGACGUCAAAUCAUCAUGCCCCUUAUGUCUUGGGCUUCACGCAUGCUACAAUGGCCGGUACAAAGGGCUGCAAUACCGCGAGGUGGAGCGAAUCCCAAAAAGCCGGUCCCAGUUCGGAUUGAGGUCUGCAACUCGACCUCAUGAAGUCGGAGUCGCUAGUAAUCGCAGAUCAGCAACGCUGCGGUGAAUACGUUCCCGGGUCUUGUACACACCGCCCGUCAAGUCAUGAAAGUCGGUAACACCUGAAGCCGGUGGCCCGAACCCUUGUGGAGGAGCCGUAGAU
rnacentral:rRNA from 1 species